AGAACAGCAAUUUAUCUGCCAUUGUUAUUCAUGCUGCAGAUUUUUUCUUCUUUAUCUGCGAUGGUUUUGUGUUCAAUGCGUGGAAACAGCCUCUUUGCAUAAAUCCAAAGGAAAGUUGCUGAUAAUAUAUGCCCACCCUUCUAACCUGGGGAGUAUUUCAAUUCAUGUACGGGAAAAUGUCUUGAUAAUGGACUGUAAGAAGCUUCAAGAAAGGUAGUAAUUGAUUUGUUCGUCUGUGGAUUGUGGGGAUAAGUGGGGUAUAGGAGUGAAGUUGUUUCUCUGAUCUGUUUGCUAGUAAAUCUGAAUCCCAUUAAAAUGGUGCGACGGGGAUUGGAGGGCUGUGAUAUUUUGUUUGACAUAUCCCGUUUAGGGAGAAAGAGGGCAUACUCUUGGAAUAAGGAAUCGGAGUUUGAAAACAGUGAUAUUUUUCGUUUCAAGAGGCAGAUUAGAAAAACUAGGAAUAUUGAUGAAGAUUAUGUACAGUAUUUGAUGCUUCUCCUUGACUAUGAUGAAGAGUCUAAGUGUUGCACAAAUGAAGGCGGAAAGGAAGGUCCUGCUGUUGCUAGAGAUAGGUUUAAUUUUGACAUGGAUGAGGAUGUGAAUGAGUAUGAGGAUGAUGAAGACGAGGAUGAGGAUAUUGAUCCGGAGUACAAGAAGUUUUUGGCUAAUACUAAACCAAAUGGGAUCUCAUAUAUGGUUAAAAUUGAUAGAAGUGUUGGGUUUCCUGUGUUUGUAGAGUUUGAGA
rnacentral:misc_RNA from 1 species